CUACAAAAGAUGGCCAUUUACAUAGCUCAAAAACAUACCAUUGAAAUGAUCCAAUAUGAACCUGUACCAAGCUUUACCCAAUUCUACUAUUCUCAUAGUUAUGUUAAAAAAACUAAAGUUACAGAGGAAUACAAGUGAAAUUUUAUAAAAAAAAAAAACAAAAUUUAAAAUCUACAAUUAACAUUCAUGGGUUUUUUUUUUUUUUUUUUCCUUGUGUGGUAAUACCAAUUGAAGGGGAGAAAGGAAAAAAAAUGGCAGAGAAUGUUACGAUAAACCUCUUCCUUAUCACAUUUUUGCUUGCAAAUUGACAUGCUAAGAUGUGUGAGUAAUCCUACAUGGAAAAUCAACAAGAAUAAAUAAAUACAGGACAAAAUUUUGCAGG